UCGAGAAUAAUUCACAAUGGGGGCAACCCUGAUGGUGCAACGCCGCGUGGAGGAUGACGGUCUUCGGAUUGUAAACUCCUGUCAUCCGGGAGUAAGACCUGACGGUGAACAGCCGGCAGGGUUGAUAGUACCGGAAGAGGAAGGGACGGCUAACUUCGUGCCAGCAGCCGCGGUAAUACGAAGGUCCCGAGCGUUGUUCGGAAUCACUGGGCGUAAAGGGAGCGUAGGCGGCGUGGCAAGUCAGACGUGAAAUCCCGGGGCUCAACCCCGGAACUGCGUCCGAUACUGCCGCGCUCAGAGGAUUGGAGAGGUAGCUGGAAUUCACGGUGUAGCAGUGAAAUGCGUGGAUAUCGUGAGGAACACUCGUGGCGAAAGCGAGCUACUGGACAACUCCUGACGCUGAGGCUCGAAGGCCAGGGUAGCGAAAGGG
rnacentral:rRNA from 1 species